rnacentral:rRNA from 1 species
AACGAACGCUGGCGGCAUGCCUAACACAUGCAAGUCGAACGAAACCUUCGGGUCUAGUGGCGCACGGGUGCGUAACGCGUGGGAACCUGCCCUUAGGUUCGGAAUAACUCUCCGACAGGGGUGCUAAUACCGGAUAAUGUCUUCGGACCAAAGAUUUAUCGCCUUAGGAUGGGCCCGCGUUGCAUUAGCUAGUUGGUAGGGUAAAAGCCUACCAAGGCGACGAUUCAUAGCUGGUCUGAGAGGAUGAUCAGCCACACUGGGACUGAGACACGGCCCAGACUCCUACGGGAGGCAGCAGUGGGGAAUAUUGGACAGUGGGCGAAAGCCUGAUCCAGCAAUGCCGCGUGAGUGAUGAAGGCCUUAGGGUUGUAAAGCGCUUUUACCCGGGAUGAUAAUGACAGUACCGGGAGAAUAAGCUCCGGCUAACUCCGUG